UUGCUUCCAAUUCAUCAAUGUCACUUUAAUGACUUAAAAUGGCAGGUGUUACAGCCUCUUCUCCUUAACAGAAUCUCGUCCCGAGAUUCCCGGGGUUAAAUCCUCGGUUUUGAGAAUGGAAAGGAAACUGCGUCAGGUCAACUACUCUUCUCUUUUCUGUACAGGGAUAGUGGGGUGGUGGCUUUUGUUUAUCUGUUCCUGAUGGUUUCAAAUAAUUCUGGAUAUUUAGACUCUAG
rnacentral:lncRNA from 1 species